rnacentral:tRNA from 1 species
GGUGGCUCAAUGGUAGAGCACUUGCCUUGCAUGCAUGAGGCCAUGGAUUCGAUUCCUCAGCACCA